CACUGAGGAACUGUACUGGAAAUUUCUCUGUCUGCUCCGCUUGUUACGGGCUCAUCUACAGUCUCCUGCACUUUGGCCUGGUUGGCAGAUGGGUCUCCUGUUGCUGCGUGACAAAUCAAAUAUAUACAAAGAUUUACAAAGGCGAGGGCCUCAUGCCUCUCUCCACGAACAUCCACAGGACGUGCGCUGAUUCUCCUGCCCAGGGCUGGGAACGGCACGGCAGAAACGCUGCCUGAGCUCUGACCCCUGGCGCUCCCGGCAUCCACCCCGAUUUUCCAUCUGGUCUCCAUUAUCUCACUUCGGUGCCUUCACAGACUUUGCUGGAAAUGAGAGCAGUCAGUGUUCCUCUGCCCGUCUUCGGUGCUGGCCGAGGCGUGCCUCCUGCCACAGGGAGGAGAGCCCCCGCGGGUCCGGUCCACACAGCCCUCGCUCGCCCCUGCCCUGAGCCACCCGGCCUCUGUUCCUCCCUGGAAAGGCUCUGGAAUUCCUGAUUCCACAUCAUCUGUGCAUGUCAGGCCCAGUACACUGUUCCAGCCAGCUGUCUCCAACCCCCCGGGGUCCCCUCCUGUCUGUGGCCGGGGCUCCCCUGACCCGUGGCUGCUGCUUCCUCGGGUUGCAGGCUCCAGAGGAAAGCAGACGAGCCGGGUCUGGACCUGCCGGGUGGUGAGAGCCAGCGGGACCCGGGGGGAGGCCGUCUGCAGGGGGGAAGUGAGGCGGCACGGGGCUCCCGCACCCCCUGCAUUAUGUGGUCUCUUCUGUGUGGGCUGGAGGCUCUGCCCUGAGGUCCACGGGCAGAGUUCAGCCGCCCAAGAAGGUGGAUGGGAACGACUGCGUCUCUGUUUUCACUAACUUCUAACUACAAGUCAGAUUUCCUUCCUCUGAAUGUGGGUAACACAGCACGGUGGCGGCAGUGCACCAGGGGCCCCGUGGACAGCAGGAGCCUCGUCCCGGACACUGUUUAAGCUCAUCGCUAUGUAAAAUCACGGUGCCUGUUAGGCCCGCCACUGGGGCUUAUUGCCCGUGAAUAAAGAGGCAUCCAUACUGCGA